UUCCCACCCCCCCCAAUUUCUUCUCCCAAUUCUCCGCCCCUGCCAAAUUCCAGCCCCUCCCCAAUCCCCCCAAAUUCCCGAUGCUGUUCGGCGCACUCUCCCGCGGGUCCCUCGGGGGUUCCACCCGGGGGGUCGCUGAGGGAGCUCGGCCCUGAGCCCCCCCCCCCCCCGGACCCCCCUUAACAAACGGAUCGGGACCGGGACCCCUCCAAACAAAGGACCCGGAACCCCCCCGGGACCAGGGAAUUAAUAUCCUAGGGGGAUUUCUUGAAGGAUUUUUGCGUUGUCCCACUCGGUGGGUUCCAGCCUCCACACUCUCUUACCUCUCUGCCUCUCUCACCGACUGGGUUGCGGCCAGCUGCGGGGUGUUCCAUCUUCUUGGCAGCAAAGGUGAUUCUCAGGUUCCCAGG